rnacentral:rRNA from 1 species
CCCUUAGAUGUUCUGGGCCGCACGCGUGCUACACUGAGUGGAUCAGCGGGUCAGGUUGCGCGAAAGUGUUUCCUAAUCUUGAAAUCCGCUCGUGAUGGGGAUUGACGGUUGCAAUUUUCCGUCAUGAACGAGGAAUACCUUGUAAGCGCGGGUCAUCAUCCCGCGCUGAAUACGUCCCUGCCCUUUGUACACACCGCCCGUCGCUCCUACCGAUUGAGUGGUCCGGUGAGGCUUUGGGAUCUGAGCAAAGAGAGCGUGUCGCUCGUUUUGCCCGGAAAACUCAGUCGAACCUUAUCAUUUAGAGGAAGGAGAAGUCGUAACA